GACAGAGGGUGCAAGCGUUGUUCGGAAUUACUGGGCGUAAAGGGCGCGUAGGCGGCUUGGUCAGUCCCGUGUGAAAUCCCUCGGCUCAACUGAGGAACUGCACGGGAAACUGCCUGGCUUGAGUUCGGGAGAGGGAAGCGGAAUUCCGGGUGUAGCGGUGAAAUGCGUAGAUAUCCGGAGGAACACCGGUGGCGAAGGCGGCUUCCUGGACCGACACUGACGCUGAGCGCGAAAGCUAGGGGAGCAAACGGG
rnacentral:rRNA from 1 species